rnacentral:rRNA from 1 species
AACGACUCUCGGCAACGGAUAUCUAGGCUCUCGCAUCGAUGAACAACGUAGCGAAAUGCGAUACUUGGUGUGAAUUGCAGAAUCCCGUGAACCAUCGAGUUUUUGAACGCAAGUUGCGCCCGAAGCCUCUGGCUUAGGGCACGUCUGCCUGGGCGUCACGC